ensembl:lncRNA
CCUAAAGAAAACUUGAUAAGCACCCUUUGUUUUUCUGUAGCAUCCAUGCUGCAUAUUUUGUGGUGGUGUUGUCACUAAAACGUAGUGUUUCAUCUGAGGCAAAGGUACAAGCCCUCACUCUCCUCAGAGCCGGGAAGGUUUAAACCAACUCCGCAGGUGACUCACUGCCUCUCUCCCUCUCCUCUCCCUCUGCAGAGGAGGGGCCCUGCAGGGAGGGGACGGGGACAGUCCAUUGCUACAGUGACCUGGGCGCUUGAAUGGCACAGUGCCACUCACCUCCUCACUCAUGGGGAAAUCGGGAGGGGCAGAUCUGAUGUCCCUUUUUAUCCCCAGAGGCUUCACACAGAUACAGCUCAUGACUGAGUCAUUGCUGGAGACAGUGAGUGCACUUUUCUGUUACCUCCUUAUUAGCAGUGCCGGAAAGCAAAGGCAUGAGCUAAGCAGUCAUGAUGAACACCACAAAUUGGUCAUGUAAGAGGCAGUAGGCUUUUGAUGGUUACAUCAGAGAUCUAGAUUUGUUCUGAAAAAUGUUACUGAGCUAUUUUGUUUUUAAAAUCAGACUGAUGAACUCAUCUAAUGGAUGGGUUACAGUGUGCUGGUCUGGGAGGCAGGUGAAGCCCAUGUUUGGAUCCUUUUAAAAGCAGCCAGGUGACCUUAGAGAUGUGGCCAAAUCACCCUGAGGUAUAGGGUCCUCAUCGGUUGUACUAGCUGGUACUAACACUGACUCUUUCACAGGUCUUCAUGGGUCAGAUGAACUAAUGGCAGCAAAGUGUUGGACUCAUACCAAGUGCUUGAUAGAGAGGCUCCGUGACUUAAUGUUCUUUUGAAUGUAAUCAAGGAAAGGAACAGAAAAGAAAGAAGUGCUCAGGAGGCCCCCAGAAGCACGCUGGCACUCUCACCAAUGCAGCCUGAAGAUGAAUAACGCAGUGGGAGUAUAUGGCUAAGAGAGUCCUAUUGAUGUGUUAUUCAAUAACACUAGGAAACAUGCUUUAGUUCAAAGCAUUGUUUCUCUUCAAGUGUCUCCAGUCUGUAUCUUAUAGCUUUACGAAAUGCUUUUGGUGAUGCGAGAGUGAUUUCAAUGUACCAAGUGCCUUUGAGUAGUUGUGUAAGGGGAUAAAGCUCGGGGAAAGAAAAGGGCAGACAGAGGGCAUCUGACCACAAAGACUCCAAAUUUCAUUGGUUUGUGGAAGAAUUUCUUGGCUGGUGCCUCUGGGAAAUGGGGUGGUUUGCAGCAAAGAUUCCCAGCCAUAGAUGUUCUCAAUAACAAAGAGGUUUUUGGGAUGUUGCGUUAGGGAGGAUGCUUUUUUUUUUUUGGUACUGGGGAUCAAACUCGGGACCUUGCGCUUUCGAGGCAGGUGCCAGAACCACUGAACUAAAUCCCCAGCCCAGGGAGGAUGCUUUUAGCUGCAAGUAAUCAGAGACUCAACUCAGGAUGGCUUAAGCCAUGAGGGAAUUUAUUAUCUCACAUAACAAAUCCUUAAGUGGCUGAGGUCCACUGGAAGCAUGCUAGGGUCCUGGCUCCACUCCUCUGUGGGUUUGUCCUCUUUUCUUUGUGGCUCCAUCCUGCAGCACCUCUGAACAUCUCAUCCAUUCACAGCAAUGUCCAGUGGUCUGUUUAGCUCCAGUCUUGGCUGGGCAAAUGUACAUUUAUUAGGGAGUCCUCAUUCAGGAAGAUUCAGGAAUCUUCUCAACAUGGAGGUGCAGAACCAACUACUUCAGAGAACCACUGAGGUUAAAAAGAUGGAGAGGCACUAGAAAAUUGAGAAAGGAAUGUCUGUGGAAUCCUUUCGGUACUUCAGCUUUCUCCUCUGUGUGAGAAACCGGCUUCCUCGGGUUGUUGUGAGAAUUAAGUGACUCGCUGGAUGCAUAUUUCUUACAACAGUGCCAGGCCCGUGGGUCCAGAGCAAGUGGCUGAUUCUAGGUUCAAGACCAUAACAAACAAGAGGAGUUGGUGG